AAUCAACACUCCACUCAGACAAUGCCCAGACCUCCAGAAACCAUGUGUCAAGCUCGGAUUGCCUUAGACAGAAGCUCACCCAGCUGGAACUCUUAUGGGACCUUGGCACCAGAGACCACAAAUUCCUCUUUGAAGUUUUCUAACAGCAACAAUGGUAUUUCUGACUUGGCUUUCUUGUAUUUCUCUCACGUUAACAAAAUUGGUUCAGCAUCUACCAUGGGCUACAUGCUGAGCUACAGAGUUUCGCUCUGUCGCCCAGGCUGGAGUGCAGUGGCGCGCGAUCUCGGUUCACUGCAAGCUCCACCUCCCGGGUUCACGCCAUUCUCCUGCCUCAGCCUCCUGAGUAGCUGGGACUACAGGCGCCCGCCACCACACCCAGAAUGUCUCUGACGGCACUUCACUGACAGCUGAAUCAAGGCCAAUUCUAUGCCUCUGAGGAAUGCAGAGCAUACUUCAGGCUCUCCUGUUGCACAACACCCAAGUGAGCACCCAAGUGGUGGCUCUGGACCAAGAAUUGGACUGUUACAGCUACUGCCUACCAACAUAGGGUGUUCUGAGAGACAGGUUACAGCUACUGCCUAUCAACACAGGGUGUUCUGAGAAACAGCAAAGACACUUCGUUUCUGAAAAUGGCGAUCUGAGAACUUUAGAAAUGAACUUGAGAGGAAAAGAUGAACCUUAAAAAAUUUCACUAGGAAGUUGAACAUCUAGACCAGCAGUGUCCAAUAAAACUUUCUGCACUGAUACAAAUGUGUUAUAUCUGUGUUCUCCAAUAUGGCAGCUACCAAACACAUGUGGCUGUUGAGCACUUAAAAUGUGGUGAGGGUGAAUGAUAAACUGACUCUUUAAUGUUGCCUAACUUUAGUUUAAAUUUAAAUAGCCACAUGCAGCUAAUGGUUAUUGUAUUGAACAGUUCAGAUGUAAACAAAUGCUGGACUGAGCAACCAUUCAAAAAAAAUUUUAAGAUUCAUUUCUGAAUUCUUGAUCCUAAAAAAGUCCCUGUUUCCAUUGGGCCUGCUGUGAUGAAAUAAGUCUAUUUUAAGAACUUUGGGGAUAGAGAAAUCGUACUAGAUUUCCAAAAAAUUAAGGAUACUAAAGAUAUAGGUUGAUUUUUAAAGACUGUACUUGAACUUAUUCAUUUUAUAACUCAAAUUUUGUACCCUUUGAUCAAAAUCCUUCAUUUCUUUCACCCCCAGCACCUGACAACCACCUUUCUACUCUGUUUCUGUUACUAGUUAAUAAUUCUGUAUAUAAAAAUUUCUCAUUCAAACUAAAAAUAUAUAUAGUACUUGAAUUGUGAAUAUUUACCUUAAUUUUAACCUAACAUAAAUAAAAUACCUUUCCAUAUUGCUAUGAA
rnacentral:lncRNA from 1 species